CUUGUGCUGCUCACCUUAAAAGGAUUAGCUGGACAUGUCUUUUGACUUGGUUCUACUUGGCGUAAUAAGUAUUUCGCUGAGGACAUCCCUUCUGGGGUGGCCAAGACUCUGGCAAACGUCUGCUUUCUAACUCGACUGUCCUCGGACAUCACUUUUUAUGAUCUGGCCUCAAAUCAGGUAGGACUACCCGCUGAACUUAA
rnacentral:misc_RNA from 1 species